rnacentral:rRNA from 1 species
UAGGUACUCGAGUGGCGAACGGGUGAGUAACACGUGGGUGAUCUGCCCUGCACUCUGGGAUAAGCCUGGGAAACUGGGUCUAAUACCGGAUAGGACCAUGCUUUAGUGUGUGUGGUGGAAAGUUUUUUCGGUGUAGGAUGAGCCCGCGGCCUAUCAGCUUGUUGGUGGGGUAAUGGCCUACCAAGGCGGCGACGGGUAGCCGGACUGAGAGGUUGGUCGGCCACAUUGGGACUGAGGUACGGCCCAG